rnacentral:rRNA from 1 species
UACGUAGGGCGCAAGCGUUGUCCGGAAUUAUUGGGCGUAAAGAGCUCGUAGGUGGCUUGUCGCGUCUGCCGUGAAAGCCCAUGGCUUAACUGUGGGUCUGCGGUGGAUACGGGCUGGCUAGAGGUAGGUAGGGGCAAUCGGAAUUCCUGGUGUAGCGGUGAAAUGCGUAGAUAUCUGGAGGAACACCGGUGGCGAAGGCGGCAUCCUGGACCGGCAUUGACGCUGAGGAGCGAAAGCCAGGGGAGCAAACGGG